rnacentral:rRNA from 1 species
GGACCCGCACAAGCGGUGGAUCAUGUUCUUUAAUUCGAUGAUAACCGAUAAACCUUACCAGGACUUGACAUCCUUGGGAGCACUACGAAAGUAGAGUGUGCCUUUUGGAACCAAGUGACAGGUGAUGCAUGGCCGUCGUCAGCUCGUGUCGUGAGAUGUUAGGUUAAGUCCUUCAACGAGCGCAACCCUUGUGAAUAGUUGUAUUUUUCUAUUCAAACUGCCCCGGUAACGGGGAGGAAGGAGGGGAUGACGUCAGGUCAGUAUUUCCCUUACGUCCUGGGCUAGAAACGUGAUACAAUGGCUAGUACAAUGCGCCGCGAAGCCGCGAGGUGAAGCAAAUCGCAUCAAAGCUAGUCCCAGUUCGGAUUGGAGGCUGAAACUCGCCUCCAUGAAGUCGGAAUCGCUAGUAAUCGCAGAUCAUCAUGCUGCGGUGAAUACGUUCCCGGGUCUU